UUGCUGAGGAGUCCCACAAUAGGACGAAACGACCGUCAAA
rnacentral:hammerhead_ribozyme from 1 species